rnacentral:lncRNA from 1 species
UUUUUUUUUUUUUGUCUUGGAAAACGAAAUCACUCCCUCCGUCUCCCAACCUAAGCAAGUAGAGUUGCCAAUACAAAUUUAUCUCUACUGUUAAUUUUCUAAGGGAUAGACAAAAUAAAAGAGAAAUGGGCCCUCUGUGAGGAGGGACAUUAGAGGCUGGGAGGGGCUGGGCUUGCCCAGUGGACCCCCUCAACUGCAGAGAUGCCUAAGAGAGUCCAGAGCACCUGGCCCUCAGACUCUUUCAGGACACAGUCCUGCUCUACUUCUCCUUCUAGAACAAAUUGUCUCCUUAAAGACUAAUCAUGGGGAACAGUGAAAGUGGAGCCUCUCAAAGAAACCCUAUUGAAAAGGUCUAAGCUCUGGCCUCCCUGGCUUCCUGAAUUUGUGGGUGAGUAGUGAGUUCCAGGCGAAACCCCAGAUUUCACUUCCACCAUCCUCUGGGAGAAGGGAAGAGGCAAUUACUUUCCUCACCCUCUGGUCCAACUACAGUACAGGAGAGAUGGACGAGAUGGAGGGAAAGAGGUGAAACACAGGACCCCAGAGCAAGGAGGGUAGAAAAGGAGCACCUACUGGCUAGCCCUCCUACCACAACUAGUAUGAGUUGGAGAUCCAGGCUGGUCUGCCUGUUACCUAAGGAGAGAGCUUUUGUGGCACAAGCCUCAGCUCACUUCUCCUUCUAGCUGGGAUUCACACACCCUUCCACCAAGUUCCUUCCCUUGGUUCUAAUCUCAUAGUAAGGCCUGAGGUAGUUAAUUCAUUUAUACUGGUAGCAUCCAUUACCUGUGGUUAUUCAAAACAUAUGCUCCCAAGGAGCUUCCUGCUAUUGCAUUUAAGGGGAAAACAUCUUUCUUUUCUUUUGCCCUAUCAGUUUAGAUUUAACCACGUUAAGGUACCAGUAAUGACACCCUCAGACUGGGCCCAAGGAGGAGCACAGGGCCCAGGGUCAGUGUUGGGGUUUUUGCCUUCAGCCUCUAAAUCCACCUCUAGUCCUUAGGCCUUCUCCCUCUCCAAUUUCAGAUAAAGAAGCCUUAUGAAACCAAAGGAAAGAAACUGAAAUUUUGAGCUGUUACUAUAAAUCUAAGAAAAAUGUUCUGCAUCUAAAUCAUCAUGAUAUUUGAAAGGGAAAUAGUUUUAUGUCCCCUUGCACUGAUGCAGACUUUUUCCAAUCUUCCUACAGUUGCUCUGUCAGGCUGUGCUGUUUUCCGUCUACCAAUUGUCAACAAACAGGCAAAGAGUUGCAUGGUUUCAAUGUUGAAGCCACCAGGAUCUCCCCAUAAAUGCUUCAGGGGAAGGAAAGGAUGAGAGAUGGAUUGAAAGGGUUGACUGUUCCUCCUGUGAAUUGAGAGCUCCAGUGGUCUCUCGGGGGCUCUGUGAGGUCUGUUCAAAGCAUGGCUGGUUCACAGUUUUAAGAGAGUAUGUUUCUGUGGUGGGAGGAGGGGAGGGCACCCGUGAGAGCAAACCAAUGCCUCUCCUCCCUGGACAGGAUCAUCUUUACUGUGUGAGCAGAAUCUUGCUGGUGAGACUACACGUGAAUACCGUUUUCUCAAACAAGCUACUACAGCAAUCCUCAGAUUUCCUUUACUGUCCAGUUACCCAAACGUGUUUGAAAUUACUGUUUCAUCCCUUGGGGGUAUGACAAAUUGUUCACUAUAGAUUAGAUACUUAAAACACAUUUGUUUUACCUGAGUCACAUCUUUAUGGAAACUUUCCCAGGAUUGAAUUUGCAAGAAUCCAUGACUGGCAUUUAUCAUAGUUAUUAAGCAUAAUGAAAUCCAAACCAAUACGAAUUCAUCUACUAUAUCAGCCUCAAGGGCUCCAUUUCAUAUUCUAAAGUUCCAGGUUAUGAAUACUGCUUGUAGCUUUGACUCAGUUACUGUUUGGUUGGCAAUUCCAGUUUGAGAGAAGUCAGUUUAGUUUAUUUAGUUUCUGUUUCACUUAAAAUAAAAUCUUAAAAACCAUUUAACCUAAAUAUUUAAAGAUUUUAAUUUCAAGAAAAGAAUGUGGUUAUGAUAUAGUUAGGAAAGUCAUUAUUCUAAACAUACUGGGGUUCCUUGUGGCCUGGUAGGUUAAGGAUCAGGUGUUAGCACUGCUGUGUACCUGGCUCAGGAACUUCCGCAUGCCACAGGCACAGUCAAAAAGAAAAAAGAAAAAAAUAUAUUAUUAAAGAAUAACACUUCAGAAGGGAGAAAUGGAUGAAAGCUGUCAAAAAAUAUGAACUUUCAGUUAGAAGACACAUAAUUUCUAGGAAUGCAAGGUACAACAUAAUGACUACAGUUAACACUGUCUUAUGGCAUAUUUGAAAGUUAAGAGAGUGAAUCCCAGGAGUUCUUGUUACAAGGAGAAAACAUCUCUUUUCUUUUACAUUUUUUGUACCUACAUGAGAUGAUAGAUGUUAAUUAACCUUACUGUGGUAAUCACUUCACAAUAUAUGUAAGUUGAAACAUUGUGCUAUACACCUUACACAGUGCUGUGUAUCAACUGUAUCUCAAAAAAAACUGAAGGAAGGGAGGAAUUACACUUCACUAUUUAGGCAUAAUCUUAUUAAAAAAUGGAAACCCUAAAGCUGACGCAGGCCAAUACAAGAUGUGCUCUAAAGCAGGGUUUCCCAACAGCAGCAAUGUCUACAUCUUUGUUGUGAAGAGCUGUCCUGUGCAUUGUAGAUGAUUAGCGCAUCGCUGGCCUUGAACCAUUAGAUGCCAGUAACACCCCCUGCCCAGCGUAACAAAGUCUCCAGACAUUGGCAAAUGUCUCUGUGGGAUCAAAAUCACCCACAAUGGAGAACCCUGUCUAAAGAAAGAACUACGAUUAUCCCAAAGUAGAAGUCAGAUAACCUGCAUGAACUAUGGCCCACAAAAAAGGCCUCUCCUUCAGUAAUCCUUACACAGACACUCUCAACAUGUGGCAUCCCCUGUCCAAACUGCAGGGUUCCUGCCAAGUCCAACUUCAUCUGCCACUGACUCUAGUGAUUUGAACAGAUUCUAGAAAGAUAACGUAGUUCGAGAUCCUCAUUUCCAAGGCAAAGUUAGAGAACGUUGACCAAGAUAUGUGCACUCAAUUCUUCUGAUGAACGCUAUUCCCCAGAUCAGGAAUUGUUCUUACACUUUGUGCUAAUGGGCAGCAAUGUUCAUUCAUCACGUGUGCUAAAUCUGGACACAAUGUGAAUCUUUUUCUUCAUCACAUAGAUGUAGUAGUUCAUGGCGGUUUUUUAAGUGCCCUGCAUUGUGCAAUUAACUAACCACAAACAAAAAAAGAGAAAAAUUGUCAGAUGUUGUCACUACCUUUAAGGAGCUAAUAAUCAAUUAAUACACUAUUCUAGUCUGGUUUCCUUCCAGCGUCACUCUUGCUAACCUUCACCCUCCAUUGCCCUUCUUUGAUAGAUCCUGGCCUCACACAGGGAGAAACAUACAAAUACAUUCCUGUAGAAGUUGUCCUUUUAUUCUGAAAGGCAGAGUUCCUUUUUUGUGACAUCUCAGUCCUGCUUGAAUUGACCCCACAUGUUGAUCAUACACUUAUUUCAACUCCUCUCACCACUAAAGAGUGACUCCCUCACUUUGUAUCAAUCUUAUGGUUUAUGUUUUUAUGAAACUGUAAGCAUAGAGAGCAAAUUAAACACAUAAAAAAGGAAAUGUUCAUAAUAGUCAAAAUCUACCCUUAGAUUGUAAAUUCAUGGGCUGAGUAGUUAAAUGUUAGUAGCUACCUGGAGUACUGUGUUGAAAAGGAAUCUCUGGCUAAAUGAAGUAAUGGUUCAGUUUCUGCCAUGUGCAGAAUGCUAUGGGAACUCAGAAGAGGGAGUCCUUAUCUCUGCAGGAGAUGUUAGGGAUGGUCUUCUAAAAAACAUGACAUUUCUCAAAGUUCCAAAUCUCUACGUGACUAGAGAAUGUUUCAGGCAGAAGAUAAUGCAUUUGCAAGAAUCUCCAGCAAGUUCAAGCAGUAAUUCAAGGCAUGUGAGUUGGGUUUGCAGGGAAGGUUGAAAAUGUUGUGGAAAAUGGGACUGAAAAGUUAGAAACUGUAAAGGAGGAACCCAGAUUUUUAAAAAAUUUCUUUCCCUGGCAGCAGUGUAAAGAAUGAACUGAAGAGAUUUUUUUUUUUUUUUUUGUAAUGACCAUGUUACUCACCAUCUUAAAAGAAUCCACCUGGGGAGACACAGCAAAGGACUCAGAAACUGAAGAUCAGAUUUUCAGUGGCAUCUAUACUGAUAAAAUUUCUCAUUUAUAUAUGAAAGAUAACAUUAAACCUUCUCUAAUAGCAAGAGUUAAAUGUGAAGAUGGUG